rnacentral:snoRNA from 1 species
GUGCACAUUUCAUUGUGUCUUUUCUUUAUGUCAAGAGAACAGAUAUUUCUGGUGUGCUAAACUGCAGGUAAAUUAGCAGCAUGGCUAGUUGAGCUGUUGCUGUCAGUAACCUUCUGAAAAAU